ncrna:unclassified sequences SAM-I/IV variant riboswitch
GUUUUGCAUCAAGAACGCUAAUGCGUACCAACCGACACGCUCGUUGCACGGUGGUUUAGAAUGCGGGUAGCUCUACCAAACAAAUCGAGCUAAC